AUGGAGCGUGGGCUGAGUAUACUGCUCCUCCUGGUUCUUCUAGGGGGUGUCUGGUGUGAGGAGAAACUGUUGGAGACUGGGGGAGACUUGGUGCAGCCUGGGGGGUCUCUCAGACUCUCCUGUGCAGCCUCGGCAUUCACCACCAGCAGCUACUGGAUGUACUGGGUUCGCCAGGCCCCAGGGAAGGGGCUACAGUGGGUUGCAAGGAUUUAUGCUAAUAGUGGUAGCACAGACUAUGCGGACUACGUGAAGGGCCGAUUCACCAUCUCCAGCGACAAUGCCAAGAACACAAUUUAUCUGCAGAUGAACAGCCUGAAGCCCGAAGACACGGCCGUGUAUUACUGUGCCCUGUGUGGGGGCUCAGUUCCCUCCCCAGGUCCUCUGCUUGAGGAAGAGGGCCGAUUCACCAUCUCCAGAGACAACGGCAAGAACUCGCUGUAUCUGCAGAUGAACAGCCUGAAGCCCGAGGACACGGCCGUGUAUUACUGUGAGAGACACACACCUACGCUGACCCUGCCCAGUGGCGGCACAGCAGUGGUGUGGACGGAGCGGGACAAGGUCGCAGGGUGA